rnacentral:lncRNA from 1 species
CCAAGUCUUUCCAGCUCAUGAGCAAAGGAAGAUGAUCUUGCAUCAUACAGUAUGUGUGCAGACAUUUGUAGGGGAGACGGGACAUGUCCAGUGUGUUAACCAGCAUGUGUGGAGCAGACACUGGGUUCUGAGGGAGAAAGAGGAGGGGACAUACAAUACAAGAGAUUGUAAAGAAGAAAUUAAACAUCAGGUGGGAGGGUGAGUGAAAGGUCAAUGAGAACCACGCACCACCACAGACUCAUCUUUUACAAGCUGCCUCCAUUUCCUGAAAGCCUACUAAAAAGCCUUCUCUCUGAUUCUAAUUUGCUACUUUUAUCAUUUAGACAUUCCAUUUCUGGCAACGACGUAACUGUUGUACAUUUCUGAGAUGCAGAGCUGAAUUAGCGAAUACAAUAGAACAACGACAUUUAAUUCUAUGUCAUUGCAGUUUGUGCCACUUUUUCUGUCUAUGUACCAUUAGCUUUGUUACUUCUUACUUUUUACGCAAUCCUUCUUCACGUAACACUGUUGUAGAUUUAAAAAUUCCUCCACAGAAUAAUUGUUGCACACUGCAGAUUAAAAAAUAAAAUGAUAACAUGAAUCAAUAGUUCUGUGGAAGCAUUGUGUUUCUUUUAAGAAUAAAAUGAUGGGAGGAAAAGCUUGAAAUAAACCUGCAGCUUAGCCUCUGGGAAAAACAAAUGGUUUAACUAAUGAGAUAUUAGAAAAGAUAUCCCAAAAAGCUAGAAAAAAAUCAUCCGAAGAAUAAGUAUUGCCUUUAAUUAUGUCUAAAUUAAAUCUACAUUUAUAAAAAAUGUAGAUGAAAAACAAUGACUAAAAGAAGAAAUGGUUGAUGGUUCUCCUCUUUCAUAGUUUG